rnacentral:rRNA from 1 species
UACGUAGGGUGCGAGCGUUGUCCGGAAUUAUUGGGCGUAAAGGGCUCGUAGGCGGUCUGUCGCGUCGGUAGUGAAAACUCAGGGCUUAACCCUGAGCCUGCUUCCGAUACGGGCAGACUAGAGGUAUGCAGGGGAGAAUGGAAUUCCUGGUGUAGCGGUGAAAUGCGCAGAUAUCAGGAGGAACACCAAUUGCGAAGGCAGCUCGCUGGGACGUUACUGACGCUGAGACGCGAAAGCGUGGGGAGCAAACAGG